CCCGUCGAUGUUCUGGGCUGCACGCGCGCUACACUGAUGCGCUCAACGAGUUUACGACCUGGCUCGGAAGGCUUCGUGAUGGGGUUCGAGUCAUCAGCUCGUGCUGAUUACGUCCAUGCCCUUUGUACACACCGCUUGUCGAUCCUACCGAUUGAGUGAUCUCGUGAAUAAUGCGGAUUGCAGCAUUUGUCAGACCGAUUGAGUGAUCUCGUGAAUAAUGCGGAUUGCAGCAUUUGUCAGUUCCUGAAAGAUGCUGCAGAAAGGUUGGUGAACCUUAUCACUUUGAGGAAGGAGAAGUCGCAACA
rnacentral:rRNA from 1 species